rnacentral:rRNA from 1 species
GACGAACGCUGGCGGCGUGCCUAAUACAUGCAAGUAGGACGCACAGUUUAUACCGUAGCUUGCUACACCAUAGACUGUGAGUUGCGAACGGGUGAGUAACGCGUAGGUAACCUGCCUGGUAGCGGGGGAUAACUAUUGGAAACGAUAGCUAAUACCGCAUAAUAUUAAUUAUUGCAUGAUAAUUAAUUGAAAGGUGCAAUUGCACCACUACCAGAUGGACCUGCGUUGUAUUAGCUAGUAGGUGAGGUAACGGCUCACCUAGGCGACGAUACAUAGCCGACCUGAGAGGGUGAUCGGCCACACUGGGACUGAGACACGGCCCAGACUCCUACGGGAGGCAGCAGUAGGGAAUCUUCGGCAAUGGACGAAAGUCUGACCGAGCAACGCCGCGUGAGUGAAGAAGGGUUUCGGAUCGUAAAGCUCUGUUGUAAGAGAAGAACGGGUGUGAGAGUGGAAAGUUCACACUGUGACGGUAUCUUACCAGAAAGGGACGGCUAACUACGUG